rnacentral:rRNA from 1 species
AUUCCAGCUCCAAUAGCGUAUAUUAAAGUUGUUGCAGUUAAAAAGCUCGUAGUUGGAUUUCUGGCAGGGGGCAACAGCCCGCUUGCAGCGUGUGCUUGCCGUCCCCUACCAUCCUUCUGUUAACGCGCCAGGACAUUCACUUGUCGGGCGCGGGCUCAGAUAAUUUACCUUGAGAAAAUUAGAGUGUUUCAGGCAGGCUGACGCCGGGAUACAUUAGCAUGGAAUAAUGGAAUAGGACUUUCGCCUCUUCUGUUGGUCUGAGGGGUGAUCGUAAUGAUUAAUAGGGAUAGUUGGGGGCAUUAGUACUUAACUGUCAGAGGUGAAAUUCUCGGAUUUGUUAAAGACUAACUUAUGCGAAAGCAUUUGCCAAGGAUGUUUUCAUCG